rnacentral:rRNA from 1 species
AAGCGGAGGAAAAGAAACUAACAAGGAUUCCCCUAGUAACGGCGAGUGAAGCGGGAAGAGCUCAAAUUUGAAAUCUGGUGGCCUCAGGUCAUCCGAGUUGUAAUCUAUAGAAGUGUUUUCCGUGCUGGCUCAUGUACAAGUCCCUUGGAACAGGGCGUCAUAGAGGGUGAGAAUCCCGUCCUUGACAUGAACUACCAGUGCUCUGUGAUACAUUUUCAACGAGUCGAGUUGUUUGGGAAUGCAGCUCAAAAUGGGUGGUAAAUUCCAUCUAAAGCUAAAUAUUGGCGAGAGACCGAUAGCGAACAAGUACCGUGAGGGAAAGAUGAAAAGCACUUUGGAAAGAGAGUUAAACAGUAUGUGAAAUUGUUGAAAGGGAAACGAUUGAAGUCAGUCGUGCUCUUUGGAUUCAGCCGGUUCUGCCGGUGUACUUCCUUUGAGUGGGGUCAACAUCAGUUUUGAUCGCUGGAUAAAGGCUGGAGGAACGUAGUACCCUCGGGUAAACUUAUAGCCUCCUGUCACAUACAGUGGUUGGGACUGAGGAACGCAGCACGCCUUUAUGGCCGGGAUUCGUCCACGUACGUGCUUAGGAUGUUGACAUAAUGGCUUUAAACGACCCGUCU